CUAGAUUGAAAACCUGAAAGGGCACUCUAAAACAAAAAAUGAAAAAAAAAUGAAAAAAACGACUUAUGUUGAGGUCAUCUAGUCGCAGGGUUAAUCUUUUGAAAGUAAAGCAAUCAGAGUUCAAAAUGAUGUGUGGCCCUCUUUCUUCAUCCAAAAAGAAAAAACAACACACCGUUGCUACCCGUUUGAGACAACAUUAACUUAUUUUUCAAAAUUAUCCCCAAGCAAAGGUUAUCAUCAAGUAUGAUUCAACUCGAGAUGCAAAUGAAGAGCACUCAGUGAUUAAACGAGGAGAAUUCAUUAACAAAUGGUGAACAUAAAUAAUAAAUAAUAAAAAAAACAAAACAAAACAAAAAAAGAAUCUCAAAGUGAUGAUGAAGAAGAAUGAAAAAUGAAGUUCAAGAAAAGCAAAGUGCUCAAAAAGUCAAAUAGUUGAUGCAAUGCCUAGAUGAUAACCCUUGUUUCAAAAAAUAUAACCAACAAAUAUUCAUUUGGGCCUUCAUAUCCUUUUUUUCAAAUACCUUUUAGCCCCUAGCCAUGUUACAAGCCUAAUAAAGCCCACACAGAUUGGAUAAUGUUUGCUGCUCAAUUUUUCAUAAAGCUUAAUUUUGCGAUAAGGCGAAAUGACUUUCAAUGUGUCGUAAAAAAAAAGUUGAAAAUGAAUGACAAAAAAAAGAAGAUAAUGUCUCGGGUAGAGGGGAUCUCCUUGCCAACUAGCCAGAAGCAUGUAAAAGAAAAUCAAACCAAUUGGGGUCGUCCUUUUAGCCGAUCUUUUUCAUGCCCACUACCUCUUCUAAACGGAACCCUUUGCCAAGGAAAAAACUGAGGCAGCUUUGUGAGUCUCAUACAAAUUUUUCAUCAACCCAUGAUCCCAAGACUGGGGCAUCUUUGUGAGUCUCAUACAAAUUUUUCAUCAACCCAUGACCCAUAGACUAGGGCAGAUUUGCAAGUUUCAUUUGAUUUGUUCAUCCUAAUUUUCAUGGAUCCAUACCCCUAUGCUCAUUUUCCCAAACACUAAACCGGGGCAAAAAUUUUUUGGUAUAUCGUGUUUUGUCUUAACACUCAAUAUUACAUCUCCGUCAAGGAGUGUAUGAGGAAUGAUAUGCCCACAUGGUUGUCCUAGUCUUCUCCAAACCCUCCAAAACAUCUCUCAUUUUUCCCCUACCAGUUCAAGCAUGUGAGCACUGAUGUCUCG
rnacentral:lncRNA from 1 species